GAUGAACGCAGCGGCAGGCUUAAUACAUGCAAGUCGAGGGGCAGCACGGUUAGCAAUAACUGGUGGCGACCGGCGCACGGGUGCGUAACACGUAUACAAUCUACCUUAAACAGGGGGAUAGCCUUUCGAAAGAGAGAUUAAUACCCCGUAAUAAAUUGAACGGCAUCGUUUGAUUUUGAAAGCUCCGGCGGUUUGAGAUGAGUAUGCGUCUGAUUAGCUAGUUGGUGAGGUAACGGCUCACCAAGGCGACGAUCAGUAGGGGAUCUGAGAGGACUAACCCCCACACUGGUACUGAGACACGGACCAGACUCCUACGGGAGGCAGCAGUAAGGAAUAUUGGUCAAUGGAGGCAACUCUGAACCAGCCAUGCCGCGUGCAGGAUGACGGCCCUAUGGGUUGUAAACUGCUUUUAUACAAGAGAAAACCCUGGUACGUGUACCAGGUUGAUAGUAUUGUAAGAAUAAGCAUCGGCUAACUUCGUGCCAGCAGCCGCGGUAA
rnacentral:rRNA from 1 species